CAAUAGCGUAUAUUAAUGUUGUUGCAGUUAAAAAGCUCGUAGUUGGAUUUCUGGUGGGAGCGGCCGGUCCGCCGUAAGGUGUGUACUUGGUUGUCUCCUGUCAUCCUUGUGGGAACUGCUCUGGCAUUAAGUUGUCGGGGUUAGGGAACACAUCGUUUACUGUGAAAAAAUUAGAGUGUUUAAAGCAGGCUUAUGCCGUUGAAUACAUUAGCAUGGAAUAAUAAGAUAUGACUUUGGCGUCUAUUUUGUUGGUUUGCACACCAAGGUAAUGAUUAAUAGGGAUAGUUGGGGGUAUUCGUAUUUAAUUGUCAGAGGUGAAAUUCUUGGAUUUAUGAAAGACGAACUUCUGCGAAAGCAUUUACCAAAGAUGUUUUCAUUAA
rnacentral:rRNA from 1 species